UACAGAGGUCUCGAGCGUUAGGCGGAAUCACUGGGCUUAAAGCGUGUGUAGGCGGAUUGCUAAGUACCUUGUGAAAUCCCACGGCUUAACCGUGGAACUGCUUGGUAUACUGGCUGUCUUGAGCCACUUAGGGGCAACCGGAACAAACGGUGGAGCGGUGAAAUGCGUAGAUAUCGUUUGGAACGCCAAUGGUGAACACAGGUUGCUGGGAGUGUGCUGACGCUGAGACACGAAAGCCAGGGGAGCAAACGGG
rnacentral:rRNA from 1 species